rnacentral:lncRNA from 1 species
CUCUCUCUCUCUCUCUCUCUCUCUCUCUCUCUCAUAGGCGUGCAAGUACACACACACACAAUUCAAGAUGGAGCGAUCCGGACGUAUGUUUUCAACUGUCUUCAUCCUCGUCCUGCUCUUUGUGGCUAUUGGUAUUUUUCUCUUUCCUCAUUUUAAUUCUAUCUUUAUAUUUGUAUAGUGGUAUAUUUCUUUCCAAUAUUGAAAGACGUUUCAAGUUUGAAUCCACCUUCUCUCGUUAAUUUAUCGAUGCAUCUUUGGCAGGGACGGGUCCAAUGGUUGCUGAGGGCAAGGCGGCAACAAAGGAGAAUUCGAGGACUUGUGAGUCUCUGAGCACGAAAUUCAAGGGACUUUGCUUCCGAUCAAGCAACUGUGCAGAUACUUGCAAAAAAGAGGGCUUCCUGGAAGGCAAAUGUGCUGGCUUCAGGCUGAGAUGUACAUGCACUAAGAAAUGUUAGUGAUAUAACACACUAACUUAUUUUGGUGCAUAGGAUUGAGAAGAAUGAAAAUUUAUAUUGCCCUUUUUUUUGUUUUGUUUAAGAG